GUAGGGUGCGAGCGUUAAUCGGAAUUACUGGGCGUAAAGCGUGCGCAGGCGGUUUCGUAAGACAGAUGUGAAAUCCCCGGGCUUAACCUGGGAACUGCGUUUGUGACUGCGAGACUCGAGUACGGCAGAGGGGGGUGGAAUUCCACGUGUAGCAGUGAAAUGCGUAGAGAUGUGGAGGAACACCGAUGGCGAAGGCAGCCCCCUGGGUCGAUACUGACGCUCAUGCACGAAAGCGUGGGGAGCAAACAGGAUUAGAUACCCUGGUAGUCCACGCCCUAAACGAUGCGAACUAGGUGUUGGGGAAGGAGACUUCCUUAGUACCGUAGCUAACGCGUGAAGUUCGCCGCCUGGGGAGUACGGUCGCAAGAUUAAA
rnacentral:rRNA from 1 species